UAAGUUAGAUCCUAUCCACUUCCACCUGGUGGUGGUACAAGAUGCUUCUACAAUUGCUUCCAGAAAUCUCUCUUCAGAAAAUUUAUACAGUGCAAAUAAUCAGACUCAUGAACAAGAAGUGAACUGACUUUCAGUCCAGCUCUUAAACUAUGAAUUGAUCCCAGCCCUGCAUUGCCAUGCUACAGAAAGGCAUCCAGGAUCAAAAGCCUAAAUUGACAGUGCUGUACCAAGCCAACCUUUGAAGACAAGGCAGAAGACCUACUAUACAUGUAGGACUUUGUAAGUCAAUCAUGCAUCUAAAUAUCAGCUUUGGUGGCCUAUAGACUAUCAAAAAAAGACCACUUUAGAUCUCAUUAACUAUUUUAGGAUACUUGAUAUAUAUUAAUUAAUUCAUCCUCUCAGCCCCCUGUGAGGGAAAAUGCUAUGGCCCAAGGAGCUUGAUGACUUACUCACGUGGUAGCCUGUAUUUUAUCCACUAACUAGAACAUACUGCUUGGGAUUGACACUAGACCAUGGAUUCAAGUUUGAACUGCACAUAAUUCAAAAGUGUCA